UUUUUUUUUCUCUUUUUAUGUUUUUUUUUCACUUUUACAGUUUUUCUCCUUUUUAUUUUUUUUAUUAUUAAAAUUGCACUUUUUAUUUUUUUUUUAUUUUUUUUAUUUUUUUUAUUAUUUUAUUUUUUAUUAUUAUGAUAAUAUUCAUUUUUUAUAUUUUUAAUCUAAAAAAAUAAAAAUAAAAAUUAGUAUAAAAUAAA
rnacentral:lncRNA from 1 species